rnacentral:rRNA from 1 species
AAACCAACAGGGAUUGCCUUAGUAGCGGCGAGUGAAGCGGCAAAAGCUCAAUUUUGAAAUCUGGUACCUUCGGUGCCCGAGUUGUAAUCUGAUCGAAGCAUUCUUGAGGUUGGCCCUUGUCUAUGUUCCUUGGAACAGGACGUCACAGAGGGUGAGAAUCCCGUGCGAUGGGGUGUCCAACCUUAUGUAAGAUGUUUUUGAAGAGUCGAGUUGUUUGGGAAUGCAGCUCUAAGUGGGUGGUAAAUUCCAUCUAAAGCUAAAUAUUGGCGAGAGACCGAUAGCGAACAAGUACUGUGAAGGAAAGAUGAAAAGAACUUUGAAAAGAGAGUGAAAAAGUACGUGAAAUUGUUGAAAGGGAAGGGUAUUUGAUCAGACUGGUAUUUAGUUAUCUUUGCUCCUUGUGGGUGAGGCUCUAACUUUUUACUGGGCCAGCAUCAGUUUUGAUGGUGAGAUAAUCGCAGUUGAAUGUGGCUCUUCGGAGUGUUAUAGCUUCUGUUGAUAUCACCUAUCGGGACUGAGGUCUGCGGUUUAUCCUAGGAUGCUGGCGUAAUGAUCUAAUACCGC